AAAGAGUUAAUUUAAACAAAAAUAGGAAGGUGUCAAUUUCAAUAUACUUUUUAAAAGUACUCUUUU
rnacentral:tRNA from 1 species